AGUGAACGCUGGCGGUAGGCCUAACACAUGCAAGUCGAACGGCAGCACAGUAAGAGCUUGCUCUUACGGGUGGCGAGUGGCGGACGGGUGAGGAAUACAUCGGAAUCUACUUUUUCGUGGGGGAUAACGUAGGGAAACUUACGCUAAUACCGCAUACGACCUACGGGUGAAAGCAGGGGAUCUUCGGACCUUGCGCGAUUGAAUGAGCCGAUGUCGGAUUAGCUAGUUGGCGGGGUAAAGGCCCACCAAGGCGACGAUCCGUAGCUGGUCUGAGAGGAUGAUCAGCCACACUGGAACUGAUGCACGGUCCAGACUCCUACGGGAGGCAGCAGUGGGGACUAUUGGACAAUGGGCGCAAGCCUGAUCCAGCCAUACCGCGUGGGUGAAGAAGGCCUUCGGGUUGUAAAGCCCUUUUGUUGGGAAAGAAAAGCAGCAGGUUAAUACCCCGCUGUUCUGACGGUACCCAAAGAAUAAGCACCGGCUAACUUCGUG
rnacentral:rRNA from 1 species